GAGGGUAUAGCUCAGUGGUAGAGUGUGUGCUUAGCAUGCCCGCGGUCCUGGGUUCAAUCCCCAGUGCCUCCA
rfam:Camelus ferus unplaced genomic scaffold scaffold1741, whole genome shotgun sequence.